GGGAAUGGCGCGGCCUACACAUGCAAGUCGAACGGUAGCACAGAGAGCUUGCUCUCGGGUGACGAGUGGCCGAUUGGUGAGUAAUGUCUGGGAAACUGCCUGAUGGAGGGGGAUAACUACUGGAAACGGUAGCUAAUACCGCAUAACGUCGCAAGACCAAAGAGGGGGACCUUCGGGCCUCUUGCCAUCAGAUGUGCCCAGAUGGGAUUAGCUAGUAGGUGGGGUAACGGCUCACCUAGGCGACGAUCCCUAGCUGGUCUGAGAGGAUGACCAGCCACACUGGAACUGAGACACGGUCCAGACUCCUACGGGAGGCAGCAGUGGGGAAUAUUGCACAAUGGGCGCAAGCCUGAUGCAGCCAUGCCGCGUGUAUGAAGAAGGCCUUCGGGUUGUAAAGUACUUUCAGCGGGGAGGAAGGUGUUGUGGUUAAUAACCGCAGCAAUUGACGUUACCCGCAGAAGAAGCACCGGCUAACUCCGUGCCAGCAGCCGCGGUAAUACGGAGGGUGCAAGCGUUAAUCGGAAUUACUGGGCGUAAAGCGCACGCAGGCGGUCCGUCAAGUCGGAUGUGAAAUCCCCGGGCUCAACCUGGUAACUGCA
rnacentral:rRNA from 1 species